rnacentral:rRNA from 1 species
UACGUAGGGGGCAAGCGUUGUCCGGAUUUAUUGGGCGUAAAGAGCGUGUAGGCGGUUAUACAGGUCCGCUGUGAAAACUGGAGGCUUAACCUCCAGACGUCGGUGGAAACCGUAUAACUAGAGUCCGGAAGAGGAGAGUGGAAUUCCUGGUGUAGCGGUGAAAUGCGCAGAUAUCAGGAGGAACACCCGUGGCGAAGGCGGGCUCUGGU